ensembl:lncRNA
UGUGUGUGUGUGGGGGGGGGCAGGAAAUGGAAGUGAUGGUGAUGGUGGUUGGUCCAUGCAUGGAAGACAUAUAGAAAGAAAAACAAAGAGAGAAGAAAAAGUGCACAAACAUUAGGAUGGACUGGUGUGGACACACUGUGCUUGCCUGUGCUGUGACUGAAGAGUUUAUUAUGGGGUGUGUUAAAGAGCUGUGUCACACUGUUGUGCUCACCUUUACCUGUACAUAACAAUUCAAAUUUUUAGACAAAGGAAUUUAAUUGUUUGAAAAAAUGUGCUUGUUUAAUCUGUGUUAAUUAUGUAUGUGCUGUAGGUAUCGGUGAUUAACUGUGCUGUAGGUAUCUGAGAUUAACUGUGCUGUAGGUAUCGGUGAUUAACUGUGCUGUAGGCAUCGGUGAUUAACUGUGCUGUAGGCAUCGGUGAUUAACUGUGCUGUAGGCAUCGGUGAUUAACUGUGCUGUAGGUAUCUGAGAUUAACUGUGCUGUAGGUAUCUGAGAUUAACUGUGCUGUAGGUAUCGGUGAUUAACUGUGCUGUAGGUAUCUGAGAUUAACUGUGCUGAUUGGUUAAUUGCAGCAUGAUGGAAGUCAGAUGGUUGGGUCUGGGCGGAGUUAAUCAUAUCCUACACAAAACUAGAACAUCUCCAUUCUAAUUUCAUCAACACUUCUCUCUCUCUCUCUCUCUCACACACACACACACACACACACACGUAGUAGCAGUCUCUGUUAUUCACAAUUCCAUAGUGGACAAACUUGACAAGACACUUACAGACCAUCACUAAUUAAAUUAAUGACUUUUCUUUGUUCUGAUUUGAUGUGUAAUAUUUUAAUUCCGAGUGGUGGAGUGGUGGAGGAGGAGUGGUGGGGGAGUGGUGGUUGGGGGA